AGCUGACGCCAACUGAAGAAUGUUAACGGUCCUUCGAAUUCCUCCAUGUUUUUAAGAAAAACAUGUUAGCGUGGUCUCUUGUUCUAUAAAAGAGAAGCAAUAUUCACAAUUUGACAAAACAAAGUCUUGCCCUGAAACCGACUGUACUUCGUUUCCCCCAGGGAACACCAGAAUGAGGAACCUGUUGGCUGUUGUGUUGAUCGCUCUGGCGUUGACUGUUGCCCAGGCCAGAUACCCCAACCGUUAUCAUUACCCAACCUACGGACAACGACACAAUGAUGAUAAUGAACACCGAUAUGGGUAUGAUUACCCGCUCCCAAAAAAGCACUACCCACGCUAUCCUCGAAGGAACCAUUACUACAGUACUACAUACUAGUUCAUUGGGGACAGACUGUUGGGGGAGCGAGUUGGGUAAUCCCCGCUAACAUUAUUUCAGUUAGAUCUGUAUUAACUGUCGGAAGAAGGCCAAAGUGAUGCCGGCCUCAGAAGUAAAUCCAUUUUUGCGAAACCCGCAAGCUGGUGCCGAGACACCAAGGAUCAUAACCAGUGCGAUUCUUGGAUCUGACGAUGACCAUGGGGCCCUACACAACGCAAUCGUGCCCCGACUAGACAUAUCUGUUGGAUUAUAAAGAGUGAAUUCGAAUU